GCCACAGCUACUCACUGAGGAGGCGGCAGAUGGCAGCCACAGCCUGGAAGAGGGGCUUGGAGAAGCUGGCACGCAGACGCAGCACACGACGGUUAGGUAGUCGCAGGAUGACAGAUGGCGUGGUCAGACCAGUCCUGCUUGCGAUCUGUGAGGACCCAGGGGUACCCAUUGGCCUUCGAAGGCCCUGCCCAGCCGCCGCCUUCUUUGCCCAGCACUGAUGCCACAGGGUUUCUCUGUGUAGCCUUGACUGUCUUGGAACUCACUCUGUAGACCAGGCUGACUUAGAGAUCUGCAUGCCUCUGCCUCCUGAGUGCUGGGAUUAAGGGCGUGCACCACCACACCCACCACCGGCAACAUCUGCAGGUCUUCAGGGCUGUUGAUAAUCUCCAUCACUAGCUGUGGGCCCUUCAGGGCUGUUGAUAAUCUCCAUCACUAGCUGUGGGCCCUUUAGGGCUGUUGAUAAUCUCCAUCACUAGCUGUGCGACCUUGCUCACCGUGUUUCACCUCUCCAGCUUCAGUUCUCUAGUUAAGAUGUAACAAUCAUCCUGACUCAUGGCUGCUGACCAAUGGCUGCGACAUUACAAAGUGUUGUGCAAUUUUGACACUUAAAGAGAAGUGCUCAUUUGGAAAUGUGAAUGUCACUUGUCAUCUGACCAGGAAUUGGGGUGACAACAAUGGAUGACACAGGAGGAUGCCUUAUCCUCCUCCCCCCCAAGAAGUGUGAAUACAGAAAUAAAUGGGGCAAAAGCUGCUGAGCACACAGCCUCCUGGGUUUUGCUGAGACCCGGUAUGUUGUUAUUUGGGGGUUUCCAGACAGGGUUUUCAACUGCAUAGCUGAGGCCAACCCUGGUCCACUCACCCUCCUGCCUUCAAUGGCCAAAUGCUAGGAUUGAAGGUAUAUGCCUUGUUGAUGCAGCGCUGAGGGUCACACCCAGGGCUUUGUGCCUGCUGGGCAAGCGCUCUACCUGCUAAGACGCUAGGCCUCUCUCUCUGGUCCUCCCACUGGGUUUUGAUCCCUGUCCCCAUCCUGGACUCCUGCCAGCUCCUGACCUGUCUCCCCACUGUCACCAGUGCUGCCAAACACUGGGGAAGCUUCUCCGCCCAGCUCCUCAGGACUCUGAGCCCCCAUCCUGAGGCCCUCGCUCUGCCCCCACUUCCUCUCCCGUUGGCCUUUUGCAUUUAAACUUGAAGCAGGGUUUUGCUUAUGUAGGCUGUCGAUUCACUCACUAGGGCUGGGACUGCCUCCAUACCCAGCAGCCUUUGCUGUGGCUUUGUACUCUUCAGGAGGCUCUCCCCACCUACUGCUCACCUGUCUUUUCCCGGGGUUUAGCCUGGAACCUCUCCCUCUCUUCAGUCAUACCCUCUCCUGGGAGUUGGGUAUCUCUCCUGUUCUAUGACUUCAACUGCUUCCUAGCUUCUGCUGGGAUCUGCAUGGCAUGGCCUCUAUUCUAAGGGGCAUUUUCAUUGCUUCCUUCAUCCCAGACUCCUGAUCACCUGGCUCCAUAGCCAGUGCUGGAAUGCUGAGUGCAGGGAGACUAGCCCCAGCCUUCCAAGGGUUAAGCUGAAGCCUGCUGUGGCUGGACAGAGGAGCCCUUCCUUCCCAGGUCAUCCAACCACCAAGGACUCUUGCCAACACCCAACACUUCAGCACCAUGCUUUUUACUUCUAGUCCAAUCCUGAGUUAA